CACGUAGGGCGCAAGCGUUGUCCGGAAUUAUUGGGCGUAAAGAGCUCGUAGGCGGUCUGUUGCGUCCGCUGUGAAAACUCGGGGCUUAACCCCGAGCCUGCAGUGGAUACGGGCAGACUAGAGGUAGGUAGGGGAGAAUGGAAUUCCCGGUGUAGCGGUGAAAUGCGCAGAUACCGGGAGGAACACCGGUGGCGAAGGCGGUUCUCUGGGCCUUACCUGACGCUGAGGAGCGAAAGCGUGGGGAGCGAACAGG
rnacentral:rRNA from 1 species